GCAAGUCGUACGGGAUUUCAUCUUUCGGGAUGAAUGAGAGUGGCGCACGGGUGCGUAACGCGUAUGCAACCUACCUGUUACAGGGAGAUAGCCCGGGGAAACUCGGAUUAAUAUUCCAUAGUAUAUAAUCGUUGCAUGGUGAUUAUAUUAAAGCCUUCGGGUGGUAACAGAUGGGCAUGCGUAGGAUUAGCUAGUUGGCGAGGUAACGGCUCACCAAGGCGACGAUCCUUAGGGGUUCUGAGAGGAAGGUC
rnacentral:rRNA from 1 species